GUAUUUGAUUAAAGGCACAAAGGCCAUUUAAAUACAUUCUGUUACAUUCGUAUGGGGUAUAUAUAUAUGAAGACAUAGACCUGAAAUGCAAGGAAAGCCGGCUUGCGCGCAGCAAAUCCUCAAAACCGAGUCUCCUCGAGAGGUAUCUCAUGGUCUACAAAAAGUGCACAGGUGGUAAAAAUGGUGCUGGGCGUGCACAUGUCCCUAGAGACCAGCAACAACCCAACCAAGUUUAUUCAAUAAUGAUCCUUCCGCAGGUUCACCUACGGAAA
rnacentral:misc_RNA from 1 species